rnacentral:lncRNA from 1 species
GUAUUACUCUCUUCAAAAAUCAUGCGGUUUCAGGCGGUUUCGUCCUCCCUACCCACGUUUCCCGCUUUCUCCUCCCCAACCGCCCCAGGUCACCCACUAUAAAUCCUCCCCUACCCAGCAUCAUCAUCAAGGCCUCGCUCUUUCCUAUUUUGCAUCGGUUAUCAAGGGUUUUUUAUUUCUUUGGAUCUCCUUCCACACGUUGCGGCUCUCUAUGCCAUACAUACACAAAUCAACCUUCUCUGAUCUCUUAUGGUUUCUCCCCCACUGCAAUUGAAGAAGAAUUUGUGAACCACAUCAUAACAGAGCAUAUUUGAGGGGCAAAAUCCUCUAUUUCCAAGAAUUUUAGGACAUGAAGCUGGAGGGGUUAUGGAGAGUGUUGGGGAAGGAGUGAAUGAUCUACAGCCAGGGGAUCAUGUUCUUCCUGUUUUCACCGGAGAGUUCAAAGAGUGUGCUCACUGUUUCUGAGAAAUUGGGGGCUAAUAAUGUGGAGAAGAAGCAACAAAAUGGUGGGACAAUGAGUCAAAUAUCUCCUAGUAGGACUAUCUUUGUUUGACGAGUUUCUUCGGAGUCAAUCUUCUAAAAAUGAUGUUGAGUUCCAAGAAUCAAAUGGAAACCGUGUCUUGUAGACUAUGCUCAAUUAGGAGCAGAAAAUUUAAAAAAAGGAUAUGGAGGCAUGUCAACAUUUGGUUCUUGAACCGUCAAAUUUGGAAUUUGACACCGCGCCUGAUUUCCAGUUGAGUCAGCUUGGUCGAAACAAUUCUUUUUUGUGGAUUAAAUGGGUUGUAUAACCUUUCCCGAUUGCAGCACUAACACGUUGUACGUUAUCAUCAGUGACUCAUUGCUGGAUGACAUUGCUAACAAGUGGAAAAAAGUAGGGGGUCGAACAAGUGGAAAAAAGUAGUUUAUUUGGUAAUCCAAGCUGCAGUUUGGUGCAUUUGGAGGGAGAGAAACAAGCUAAUUUUUUACAAUAAGCGACAGAGCGUGGGAAAAGUGGUGAAGGAAAUAAAGGCAUUGGUGCUUCUGUGGAUUUGGAACAGGGCUAAACUGUUCGGGCUUACAUGGGAUAAAUGGCGAGAGUUUGAUUUACUUUGUAUGGGAGUAUAAUAUGUUUCUGUAUGCUGGUGGAUGUAACUUUGGGCUAAUCAUUUGUUAGCAUGUUAUUAAUAUAAAGAUAUAUGUUGUUGGCCGAUAAAAAAAAGAGCUGAUGCAAUUUGAUUCACUGUAAUUGCUAACAACCUCGCUUUGCUAUGUUUUUAGGCAUAACAAUCUACAUAUGAACACUUUUGGU